AGACAGACCACAAGUCUCACGAUACUGUGCCCAUUGAAGACAUGGGAGCACACCAGAAGGGUGAGCUUGCAGCCGCUAAAGCAGAGGUUGGARAGAUGGUCCAGGUCAGACAGAAGAAGGUGGAUGAAAUCAAACACUCUGUGGAGCUCAGUAGGAAAAGUACAAGCAAAGAUAUUGAGGACAGUGAGAAUCUCUUCACCAAUCUGUUGCGUUCGGGUGAAGAAAGACGAACCAAUCUAAAGCAGGUGAUGGAGG